ACUAUUGUAAAGAAUUACUGAUAAACAAAUUUUUCGAUAGUUAUACAGGUUGGAAAGGUGAGUUCAAAAUUGAUCUGACCUUCCUGAAGACAAAAGUUAAAAAUUUUAUCACCUAGCAAACAAGCUUAAAAGAGCAGACUAACAGCGAUGCAUAUUCUUUCAUCAGUUCAAUAAAUUCUAUUUCACUUAAAACUUACUUACCCUUUUACAGAAUGGUACUUAACUUCUCUGAGUCACAAAAGUACUCUAACUAUUAAUAUAAUUAACUGUCUACCGGUCCUCGGCAACACGUGUGACUUUGAGCCAGUUUUUCUACAUCUUAAUCAGUUUCUAUACUCUUACGCUCUACCGAUGCUGAAUUUAGCCCCUUUUUUCGAAGUUUCCCUCCAGGGUGUAAUCACUGAAUGAAAAUCUCUCUUGUUAGCCACAAACAUUAAAGGAUAUAAAUCAAGUCAUUAAUUUUUAAGGGUCUUGAUACCUCAUUAUAAGGUUAAGGUAUGAAUCAAUUCAGGGAUUAAAGGUAUUUUUCCUCAAGUCCUUAGUUACUUAGUACAAUCGUGACUGGAUCACGAAAUAGUUUUCUAACUUACGGUUGUAAGUCAAAUCCUUCAGUUGCCAAAGAAAUACGACAUAUUAAAUCCGACCUCGGGUCAGUAAAAUUCCUUUGUUAUCAUUUCUGUCCCUCUAAGAUCUGAGUUAAGGGUGAAUUAUGAAUUCUCAUCGUCACAUAAUCCAAGCAAUGAUUGCAUGUCGAAAAGACUUUCAGUUCAUAUUCCUAAGAUGUGCUCAGUUCAUCGAUGUCAAACUAGGAAAUAUUUCAUCUCACAUGCAUGCUCUAGUGUCUCAAAUACAGUAGUACCCUAUAAAACAAAGCUGUCCUGGAAAGUGAGGUGAGUGAGUCACCUUAAAACAAGAAAAUACGCAGAAGGAGACAGAAACUUUCAAGACUUCACUGAAAACCGUGAGUUCGCACACGAAAUUGGACGGUUGGUGAGGUGCAAUGGAUUUCUGGCAACAGCACAAGAGAGACCAGAGAAAUGCUCUUUCACUAAAAGACAGACUACUGAUCACGAUUUAGAAAGAUCACGUAACUGUACUCCAGGGCAUACCCGUUUCACUUUUUUAUGAUUGAAUGUAACACUGAGAAUUAAUGUAAAUAUAACCUUCUCAGAACUUCAAGCGAAAAAAUAAAUUGACAUAAUCAUGGGAAA